UUUAAAUUGAAGAGUUUGAUCAUGGCUCAGAUUGAACGCUGGCGGCAGGCCUAACACAUGCAAGUCGAACGGUAACAGGAAGCAGCUUGCUGCUUUGCUGACGAGUGGCGGACGGGUGAGUAAUGUCUGGGAAACUGCCUGAUGGAGGGGGAUAACUACUGGAAACGGUAGCUAAUACCGCAUAACGUCGCAAGACCAAAGAGGGGGACCUUCGGGCCUCUUGCCAUCGGAUGUGCCCAGAUGGGAUUAGCUAGUAGGUGGGGUAACGGCUCACCUAGGCGACGAUCCCUAGCUGGUCUGAGAGGAUGACCAGCCACACUGGAACUGAGACACGGUCCAGACUCCUACGGGAGGCAGCAGUGGGGAAUAUUGCACAAUGGGCGCAAGCCUGAUGCAGCCAUGCCGCGUGUAUGAAGAAGGCCUUCGGGUUGUAAAGUACUUUCAGCGGGGAGGAAGGGAGUAAAGUUAAUACCUUUGCUCAUUGACGUUACCCGCAGAAGAAGCACCGGCUAACUCCGUGCCAGCAGCCGCGGUAAUACGGAGGGUGCAAGCGUUAAUCGGAAUUACUGGGCGUAAAGCGCACGCAGGCGGUUUGUUAAGUCAGAUGUGAAAUCCCCGGGCUCAACCUGGGAACUGCAUCUGAUACUGGCAAGCUUGAGUCUCGUAGAGGGGGGUAGAAUUCCAGGUGUAGCGGUGAAAUGCGUAGAGAUCUGGAGGAAUACCGGUGGCGAAGGCGGCCCCCUGGACGAAGACUGACGCUCAGGUGCGAAAGCGUGGGGAGCAAACAGGAUUAGAUACCCUGGUAGUCCACGCCGUAAACGAUGUCGACUUGGAGGUUGUGCCCUUGAGGCGUGGCUUCCGGAGCUAACGCGUUAAGUCGACCGCCUGGGGAGUACGGCCGCAAGGUUAAAACUCAAAUGAAUUGACGGGGGCCCGCACAAGCGGUGGAGCAUGUGGUUUAAUUCGAUGCAACGCGAAGAACCUUACCUGGUCUUGACAUCCACGGAAGUUUUCAGAGAUGAGAAUGUGCCUUCGGGAACCGUGAGACAGGUGCUGCAUGGCUGUCGUCAGCUCGUGUUGUGAAAUGUUGGGUUAAGUCCCGCAACGAGCGCAACCCUUAUCCUUUGUUGCCAGCGGUCCGGCCGGGAACUCAAAGGAGACUGCCAGUGAUAAACUGGAGGAAGGUGGGGAUGACGUCAAGUCAUCAUGGCCCUUACGACCAGGGCUACACACGUGCUACAAUGGCGCAUACAAAGAGAAGCGACCUCGCGAGAGCAAGCGGACCUCAUAAAGUGCGUCGUAGUCCGGAUUGGAGUCUGCAACUCGACUCCAUGAAGUCGGAAUCGCUAGUAAUCGUGGAUCAGAAUGCCACGGUGAAUACGUUCCCGGGCCUUGUACACACCGCCCGUCACACCAUGGGAGUGGGUUGCAAAAGAAGUAGGUAGCUUAACCUUCGGGAGGGCGCUUACCACUUUGUGAUUCAUGACUGGGGUGAAGUCGUAACAAGGUAACCGUAGGGGAACCUGCGGUUGGAUCACCUCCUUA
rnacentral:rRNA from 1 species